rnacentral:rRNA from 1 species
GUGGGGAAUAUUGGACAAUGGGCGCAAGCCUGAUCCAGCAAUGCCGCGUGAGUGAAGAAGGCCCUAGGGUUGUAAAACUCUUUCGAUAGUGAAGAUGAUGACGGUAACUAUUAAAGAAGCACCGGCUAACUUCGUGCCAGCAGCCGCGGUAAUACGAAGGGUGCUAGCGUUGUUCGGAAUUACUGGGCGUAAAGAGCAUGUAGGCGGAUCAAUUAGUCAGAGGUGAAAGCCCCGAGCUCAACUCGGGAACUGCCUUUGAUACUGUUGGUCUAGAGUUCGAGAGAGGUGAGUGGAAUUUCCAGUGUAGAGGUGAAAUUCGUAGAUAUUGGAAAGAACACCAGUGGCGAAGGCGGCUCACUGGCUCGAUACUGACGCUGAGAUGCGAAAGCGUGGGGAGCGAACAGGAUUAGAAACCCUGGUAGUCC